GACGAACGCUGGCGGCGUGCCUAAUACAUGCAAGUCGAACGAGAGCAACCGGUGCUUGCACUGUUCAAUCUAGUGGCGAACGGGUGAGUAACACGUGGGUAACCUGCCCAUCAGAGGGGGAUAACAUCCGGAAACGGAUGCUAAAACCGCAUAGGUCUUCGAACCGCAUGGUUUGAAGAGGAAAAGAGGCGCAAGCUUCUGCUGAUGGAGGGACCCGCGGUGCAUUAGCUAGUUGGGGAGGUAACGGCUCACCAAGGCCGGGAUGCGUAGCCGACCUGAGAGGGUGAUCGGCCACAUGGGGACUGAGACACGGCCCAAACUCCUACGGGAGGCAGCAGUAGGGAAUCUUCCGCAAUGGACGCAAGUCUGACGGAGCAACGCCGCGUGAGUGAAGAAGGUGUUCGGAUCGUAAAACUCUGUUGUUAGAGAAGAACAAGUGCUAGAGUAACUGUUAGCGCCUUGACGGUAUCUAACCAGAAAGCCACGGCUAACUACGUG
rnacentral:rRNA from 1 species